UGAUGGCUUUUCCUCUCACUGCUUGGAGCCUUAGGUAGUGGGAUUUUAGUCCAUCAUAUAUCUAAGCUAAUUUGUUUUCAGUCAGAGCACCAUGGGAAUGGGUUGGCUGUCCAUUAGUGCCUUAUGGGUUCUGUGGAGUUGAACAAUU